UUUGAUAGAGCACUUUCUCUCCUUCUUUCCUUCGAACCAGCCACUAUAGCUCUCGCCGGAUACCCAAGCCAGUAGACGUUGCCGUUUUCGCUUCAUCCAGUGCCACAAGUGUCCGUCGUCUUCCACCCAGCCACGCAGUUCGAUUUGCGGGUCGCUGCAUUGUCGGUGUUAGCAGAUGAACCCAAGACGGCAUCUUCUUCCCUCCGGCUCAGCCAACCAAGUUUGCGUUUUGAGUAUCGAUUCCUCCCACCCGCUUCCUUCCCUGUGCCGGACCCUUGCGGUGGUCGUCGGACUGCUGUCGGAGCGUCAUCGCAGUGUCGCCGGACCAAAAACAGUCCCACUUGGUCCCUUCCCUUGAUGAUAUUUUAUGGACUUGCAAAUCUCUUUUUCCAGAGACUAGAAAUGAACAAAUUAUCUAAGGAUGUGUCUUCGUUUGUAAAUUCCCUUAGUCUUUCUUUGAUUUUCAUUGGAAACCCUGGUCUAUGUAGCUAUUGGCUGGAUUCAUCUUGUUAAGGGUCUCACCCUACCGAGCAAGGCAAGAGAAGGUCAAACGCAAGAGAGUACAAGCAACAAAAGAAUCUAGUAGCAAACCGCAAGAUGCUAUUAAGGAGAACCAACAAUAGCCAGAUAUGACUGAACUCGCCAAGGGUCUCCCAAGUAAUUGGCAGCAUUUCCAAUUGGAUCCAUCAGACGUCCUUCAUCUGAAACAAAUUGAGCUCAAUGCAUUUCUAGAAGGCUUGUAUGCAACGCCAACAAACCGAAUAAACACUUCGUCCAUACCGGUCAUUCCACCGAACCCCAUUGAAGACAACAAAAUAGAGGACAUACUAAGGAAGCUUGUCAAUUCCUCAUGCCAACGUUAUCUUUCUCAACAUUGUAACUCAUCCAUUGCUCCAUGUU